rnacentral:rRNA from 1 species
AAGGAACGCUGGCGGCAGGCUUAACACAUGCAAGUCGAACGCCCCGCAAGGGGAGUGGCAGACGGGUGAGUAACGCGUGGGAAUCUACCUAGUUCUACGGAACAACAGAGGGAAACUUCUGCUAAUACCGUAUACGCCCUAAGGGGGAAAGAUUUAUCGGAAUUAGAUGAGCCCGCGUAAGAUUAGCUAGUUGGUGGGGUAAUGGCCUACCAAGGCGACGAUCUUUAGUUGGUCUGAGAGGAUGAUCAGCCACACUGGGACUGAGACACGGCCCAGACUCCUACGGGAGGCAGCAGUGGGGAAUAUUGGACAAUGGGCGCAAGCCUGAUCCAGCCAUGCCGCGUGAGUGAUGAAGGCCUUAGGGUUGUAAAGCUCUUUCAGUGGGGACGAUAAUGACGGUACCCACAGAAGAAGCCCCGGCUAACUUCGUGCCAGCCGCCGCGGUAAUAC